rnacentral:misc_RNA from 1 species
AAGUCGUAACAAGGUUUCCGUAGGUGAACCUGCGGAAGGAUCAUUAUCACGUUAAUCCACGUAUCAACCAUCUGUGAACCGUACCUCAACCUCUGGUGUUUCCUUGUGCUCCUCUUUUUCCUUUCUCUCUCUUCCUCUCACAGGGAGGUUGCGGAAGAAGAAGAAGAGUGCAAGGGAGGAUCCGAGCGUAUUUUACCCUUUUUUUUUUUCUUCAAAAAAAAACCAUUAACCACUCUAACCAAAACCUUAUAACUUCAUGAACUAAUCUUUUUUUCAUACUCUUCGGAGAUGAAAUUCAUUACGAAACAAAGAACAACUCUUAGCAACGGAUAUCUUGGUUCUC